AGCUUAUCAGUGAUGUUCUCUUAACAAAUGUCUGAACAUAUGAAUUCCUAAGUGAUUUCAUUUUGUAACUGAGAUGAGCU
ensembl:snoRNA small nucleolar RNA, C/D box 72